GCUUUAAUUAUUAUUAAAAUCUUGACCUUUUUUAAUUUUAAUGGCGUGAUGCAUGCAUUAACUGAAUCCAUUGUGGUUGAUAUUGUUUACAUUUAACUCUUUUUAUUUUGUUAGAGUGAACAGCAUUAUGACCAGUGCAAGAACACAGAGAGUUUUGCCUCAACAGCACCUGUUCUACUACAGCAUUACCCUCUGUAUAGAGUGAGUGAUGCCAUGUGUACAGGUAUAGAUGCAGCACCUCUGGAUGAACGAUACCAGCUAUUUCAGGAGCGUUAUGAUGUUAUAUCUAAGAAUGCCUCCAAAAAGCUCUUGUGGUGGUUCAAGCCCCGCCUAAUUCUCAGUGGCCACACUCACCAUGGCUGUGAGGUACUGCAUGAAAACCUCUAUCCUGAGAUCAGUAUCCCAUCCUUCAGCUGGAGAAACCGCAACAACCCGAGCUUCAUCCUGGUAAUUAAAGCCCAAGUUUUGUUUACCCUCAUGCCGUUUCAGAGCACUUACUGUCUUCCAUGGAACGCAAACGGAGAAGUUUUGUAAAAUGAUCACAUUGCACUUUUUUUUUUUUUUUUCAUUUAAUGACAAGAAGCUUUCAAGCUUCAAGAAAGACAAAGAAAAAUAAAGUAUUAAAGAAAUCCAUAUGACCUUUAUGGUAGCAGCCAAUAAACAUCAAUUAUUAAUCAGUCAUUCAAUUAAUCCAAAUAUGAUCAGAUCAAGACCCAACCCUGCUAAAUGCAUUUAACAAACAGACAAUUGUAUUAUUUACAAAAGAAACCCAGGGAGUAUUCCAGAAAGCAUUAAACAUUAUGUAACAUUAAACCAACCAUUACUUUAAUUUACAUGAUUUGGAAUUAGUUCAGUCAACUCAGUUCAGUUUAUGCAUAUCCAGUAGUCAUAUCAAAUCAGUGUGUAAAGUACAAAUUUACUUAAAUAAUGCAGAAUGUGAAACUUGAUGGGCCACCAUAUGACAAAAAUUAGAUAGGUGACCGAUCAUAAAAAUUCCAUAACCCCACCACCCCUCCCACCCAACUGGACACCUGUUCAUGUACACCCCCACUGCACCACAAGUGGACAUCACUGUGGACAUCUUUUUAUCCAGCCCACCAAUCCAAAGGAAUUUAUGACCAAAUAAACUUUAAAAUGUGAAAUGGUGUAGGCUAUUGGUUGGUAAAAUAACUGUGAUCAAGGGAGGUAUUUAUUAAAGUUUUUUUUUUUUACACACGUUUUAAUAAAAACAUCUGUCAUAAAAGCAGUAGAUUCAAUGUAAUGCCUUUUCCAGAAACAGUAAAACAAGUCAAGAAGAACAUUAACAUAUUGUUACACAAUUUUAGAAAAACAAGUCAAGACAUCAUUUAUGGUCCGCGUACGUUUUGAUCAUUUUAUUUCCUAUUUGGAAUGGAUAAACUAGAAAUGAAAAGACGGCUAAGUUUUUUGUUUAGUUUAACAAACGGAAAAUGAGAUUUUGGCUUGAUUUCUCAUGUUUCGUUUGUGGUUUUCAAUCGGAUUAUUGUUUUGAUAUUUCAUUCGCACAUGUGGGCAGUGCCGAAACACCACUUCAUCUGAUUGGUCAAUUCGCUCCGCCUUCAGUACGAGUUUUUAAUUCUGUCAGACAGAAUAAGAGUGCGGUGCUGAAUAUUGCUCUUUAAUAAAAUAUGUCUGAAACCACCAAUCACUGUUAACUACGCAUAACAUUUGAAGCAGGAAUAUGUUGCUAGGCACCAACAUAAUUUGUGUUGCUGCGACUUGCAAGCGAACUAUAGGCUACACUGACAGAUUAUUUCUAGGAUAUAAGAUUGUAUGAAUAUUCUGUGUCCCAUUGGUA